rnacentral:rRNA from 1 species
CCUACGGGUGGCAGCAGUGGGGAAUAUUGCACAAUGGGGGAAACCCUGAUGCAGCGACGCCGCGUGAAGGAUGAAGUAUUUCGGUAUGUAAACUUCUAUCAGCAGGGAAGAAAAUGACGGUACCUGACUCAGAAGCCCCGUCUAACUACGUGCCAGCAGCCGCGGUAAUACGGAGGGGGCAAGCGUGAUCCGGAUUGACUGGGUGUAAAGGGGGCGUAGACGGUGUGGCAAGUCUGAUGUGAAAGCCCGGGGUUCAACCCCGGGACUGCAGUUGAAACUGCCGAACUAGAGGGUCGGAGAGGCAAGUGGAAUUCCUAGUGUAGCGGUGAAAUGCGUAGAUAUUAGGAGGAACACCAGUGGCGAAGGCGGCUUGCUGGACGAUGACUGACGUUGAGGCUCGAAAGCGUGGGGAGCAAACAGGAUUAGAUACCCUUGUAGUC